rnacentral:lncRNA from 1 species
AAUCAUAUAGCAAGCAUAAACAUGGUUUCGAAUCCCCCCUAGCCAAGGGGGGUUUAGUUCCUCAUACUCGCAAAGCAAAGAUAAAUAAAUUUAGAAAUUAAAAUCCAAAGAAAGAAAACACCUAGAACGCUCCAACUUGGCAGCUAGCGCAUCAACGAUUUCUCCUUCCUCCUUGCUGUGGCAGAGAAGUUUAGAACAAGGUUUGGGUGGUAUUUAUGGUGUAGAAUGGAUGAGGAAUGGUAUGGAAAGGUUUAGGGUUGAUAGGUGGUGCGGCAAAGGGUGAUUUUUGGCAGAAAUUUGGGAGAAUGAUGGUGGAAGGCUGCGGCAAAGGUGUGGAAUGGAUUUCUGGCGUGAUUUAUGAAUGUGAGAGGUGGUGCAUUCGGCCAAGGCUUAAUAUGAGUAUUUAUAGGCACUUAAAACCCUAGGGUAAUCAGAUUAGGGCUUCUAGAAAGCCAAAUCCAUCAGAAAAUAGGUUUAAACAAUCAGAAUUUGCAAAGGAAAAGGUAUAGGAGGUGUGGUAGGUUUGAUGGGAUAAGGUUAGGGCUUCUAGAAUGCCUUGCAAGGCAAGAAAACAUGUUCUAGAAAGGGUUAUGCACGGCAUGGAUUUAGGGAAUGUGGAUAGGGCUUCUAGAAAGCCCAAAACCAAGAGGAAAUAGGCCUUAACCCACUGGAAGGAUGAGAAAAUGUUCUAGAACCCUUCUUUGUGUCUUCCAACGCUUAAGAACCUUCUAAUUUUGCUAAACCUCAAGGCCAUGUAGGUUUAGGAAAGAUCAACCCAAAGUGGAAACUUUUAGGCUUAGCUCUCCUACUUCAAGUAGGACAACUCGUUUGAGUAGGAAUCUUCGUUCUUCUAGGAAUCCAUCUUCUGAAGGGAAAAUUAUGAGUUUAACACAUGGGAUUUCUAAAUGACUAGCAUGCAUAUACAAUUCAAAAUUUAUAUACAUGAGCAACGGAAGCAAUUUAUCAAAUAUUAACAAAGCUAUAGUCAUGCAAAUCCCCUUCAAGGUUCAUAGGUUUAUAUAUAAUGCAUCAAAACAUUUUAUUAAAGAACAAAGUGAAGGUUUAGUCUUAUACCGCUUGAUCUAGACUUGAGACCAAGGAUGGACCACCUCCAAGCCCUUUGUUCCUUGAAGUCCUUGAGCCUAGCCUCCCUCCUUGCCUCCUCCACUUUGUUAGUAAGAGUGCUCCAAGGUUCUCCUCCUUUAGUCUCCAAAGGAGAAGACCUCUUAAAUAUCCACACCCACUAGUGUAGUGAGAUGGAUGGAGGAAUAACCAAAAGGGUGAAAAGAUUUUUAGCUAAAACACCCUCUAGGUGGCCGGCCUUUGUGGUUUUAGAGAGCUAUUUUUCUUUUGCCUCUUUGUUGUUUAAAAACACACAAAAACCCUAAGGAUUAAAACUCUAUAAAGUUCCUUAUAUAGACAAAAAGAAACCUAGUCAACAACUUGACUAAAUAUCUCUCCCUCUCCACUUGCAAGGGCAGGGCCCCUUUGUGUUGGUUUGGGCUUUGGGCUUUUAUAUAUUUCUAGUCAUCCAAUGCUUGAAUAAAAG